CUAGGUCGGGUCAAGACCCAGGCCCGACCAGCUCCUCGCGUCCACCCCUCUCCUUUCUCUCGUUCUUCCUCACACACGCGAACCCCGAGCUCUCCAUAGCCUGGCCGCGCCGCCGCUCUCUCCUGGCCGCCUCCGGCCCUCUCCACCGCCGACGUGAUGGGGCUCUGGACCGCCUGGAUGUGAUCUACAACUUCCCCCUCCUCGAUUUUGUUCUUGCGUUCUCUGUCGCUCGCCCUCGACCCCGACUGGGUCGCCGAUUCCGCCCCUGCCCCGGCCGAUGUCGGCCGCCAUCGGCGCCGCUGUUGUACGGCGGGCUUCUCCAUCAUUCCCUCCACCAAAUUGCUGCAAGCGCCUCCUCUUUGCGCCCACACUCCUGCGCCCCCCCAGCAAACCCUAGCACGGCCUUGGUUCUGUCACCGGCGACCUCGGCGAGUACCGCCGUCCACGGUCGCGCCGCCUUUCUGGCUGCUCCCGCACAUCGACGAGCUGCUGCUCUGGCGUGGUCGUUUGCGCCUCCGCUCUUUGCUGUCAUUCGACCUCAUUACUGACCACUACCCCGGUGCUCCUCUUUGGCAUGGCAUGAUCUGACGGUGGUGAUGGAGCUGGUCCAGUGGUGUUGGUGUGGUGGUGGUGAUGCUUCUGGUCGUGUGUCGACCGCUGUCUCGACGCCGGCGGGACGGCCACUGAUGUGCAACCUCGGCGCCCGUGUACCGGUGCUAUCGCUGUCCUCACUGCAUCCUCGACUUCGACGCCGGCAGGACGGCGUCGCCGACGCAACCCUGGCGUCGAUCGCUGCGACUACUUCUCUACUACAAUAUGAAGAAUAAGAAGAUUAUGGAAGAUUUGGAAUAUGAAGAUUUUAGAUUAGGAAUAGUUUUAUUCUUUUUGUAUCUUCUUUUAUUUAUUUUGUAAUUUGUGACUUUCUCUUUAUGAGAAUUCUACAUACAAUUGGAUAAUUCUUAAUGUAAUAUAUAUUAUUUCUUUAUCUAUUUAUAAAUUUUCAAUUGUGUUUUAUAUA